rnacentral:rRNA from 1 species
UACGGAGGAUCCGAGCGUUAUCCGGAUUUAUUGGAUUUAAAAAAUGCGUAAACGAACUAAUAAGUCAGUGGUGAAAUCCUGCAGCUUAACUGUAGAAUUGCCGUUGAUACUGUUAGUCUUGAGUACAUUUGAGGUAGGCGGAAUGUGGUGUGUAGCGGUGAAAUGCAUAGAUAUACCACAGAACGCCGAUUGCGAAGGCAGCUUACUAAGCUGUUACUGACGCUGAGGCACGAAAGCGUGGGGAUCAAACAGG